UGGGGAAUCUUCCGCAAUGGACGAAAGUCUGACGGAGCAACGCCGCGUGAGUGAAGACGGCCUUCGGGUUGUAAAGCUCUGUGAUCCGGGACGAAAGAGCCUGAGGUGAAUAGCCUAAGGAAGUGACGGUACCGGAAAAGCAAGCCACGGCUAACUACGUGCCAGCAGCCGCGGUAAUACGUAGGUGGCAAGCGUUGUCCGGAAUUAUUGGGCGUAAAGCGCGCGCAGGCGGCUUCCUAAGUCCAUCUUAAAAGUGCGGGGCUUAACCCCGUGAUGGGAUGGAAACUGGGAAGCUGGAGUAUCGGAGAGGAAAGUGGAAUUCCUAGUGUAGCGGUGAAAUGCGUAGAGAUUAGGAAGAACACCGGUGGCGAAGGCGACUUUCUGGACGAAAACUGACGCUGAGGCGCGAAAGCGUAGGGAGCAAACAGG
rnacentral:rRNA from 1 species